UGUUUGUAAAUGCAUAGGAAAGCAUCUGGAAAGAUGGACAGCAAUCUGACAGUAAUUACUACCUCCGUGGAAGACAGUGACAUAAGGGUUUGAAGGAGACUUUUACUUUGUAUUAUUUUAAAGUUCUUGUUACAUUAAGAAACUUUUCAUUUAUUACAUGAUUUAAAAAAUAACUUGUCGGAACCCUCAGAGUAGCUUCUGAGUGCUUUUAAGUACCAGACACUGACCUGAGUAUUUUGUGAGCCUUGUCUUAUUUCUCACAACAGCACUAUGAAGGUAGGUCUAAUUAUUAUCUUUAUUUUACAGGGAAAGAAACUGAGGUUUGGAGAGGUUAACUGUCCAGAACAGUCAAGAAUUGAACACAGGUUUGUCUGGACUGUCUCACUGAACACAGCUUUAAAUCUCGGAAGCCUACAGUUGUCUGGUAGAGAAUAAAGGAGCAAGAGGAUGGACAGACAUCCUCUGACUUUUUGAUGCAGUGCUGGGAGUCCGCUAAGGUGCCUGGCAGGGUUAUAUCUUUCUACCUCCUUUAAAGAUACACAUGACCAUGUGCUCUGCUUUGACCAAAACGACAUGAGCAGAAGUGACACAGAUCUCCAGGCAGUCUUUGGAGCUGGUGAUUAUUUGCUGAGGUCUUCCCUCCCCACCCCACCCCCAAAAUUCACUGUUGCCCCCUAUGGAUAAUCUCCCUUGACCUGGAUCCCUGGACAAAAACAGUUUGCACAGAGCCAUUCCUCCAAGAUGGCCAACCUGGGCAUAUGGCAUGAGGGAGGCAGAAACCUGUUGUUUGAAGCCAUUUAGGCCUGGGGACUAUUUGUUACCACAGCAUUACCUGGCCUAUCCUGCCAAUUACAGAUGGGUUUCCAGAUCUUCCAGUUUUUCAGGAGAUAAUCAAAACCAGGGUCAUCAUAUGACAUCACUCAGUGUUUUUUUUUAAACAUUUUAUUAACGAUAUAAAAAUGUUUUGCUCCCACUUAAAAAAA